ACUUUCGUUCAGUUCGGACGCAGUGAACACCCGAAGACCCACUAACCAGUGAACAUACCUCUACUUCUUUUACGUGGUCCACGAGGCUGCUGACAAUACGACGUGAAAAUGUAGACGAGACGGAUUCGGUGCGGAGCGCGACAGUUUACCUGCACCCUGCGGGGUCGGUGCUUGAACAAUCCGUACGCAACCAUAAUCUGAUUAGAGAGUUCGAAAUUUCUUCACACAUUUGAAGUAUUUAAGAAAAGCACUUCGAGUUAUAUGCAGUAGUUUAGAGCAGAUUCGUAGUUUGAAGUCGAAUAAAUCGUCGGCUCCAUCUUGUCAAAACGAAUACUCUACCACAAGAACAUAUGGAACUUUGGAAUUGAGAACGGAAAAAUAAACGGAAU